GAAAAACUUCACUCUCUCGCUUCUUCACACAAAAACAUCACCAGACUCUCUCUCUCUCUUUCCCCUCUCCCUCCCUAACACAUAGGGCUUCGUUCCCUCCUUUCUUUCUCUUUCAUCGGAUCUGUCUUCUCUCCGAUCUCCCCAAUCCCCCACAGAUCGCAACUUCAACGCACUCUCCAUAACCAACAACAUACCCAUACUCCCAUUUACCAAAAUAACUACAAUACUUCCUACCAAAUUUAACCAUUUCCAUUGCCUUCUCUCUUCUCUUCCUUUCCAUUUCCAUUUUUUUCCUUUAUUCCAAUGGAUACCAAAUGCCCCUAGAGGUUUCACAAUGACCGCCCAGAGAUGAGCAGGAACACCCACAACUGCCAUAAGGACGAAGAAGCAGAAGAAGAAGAGGA
rnacentral:misc_RNA from 1 species